rnacentral:rRNA from 1 species
UACAGAGGUCUCAAGCGUUGUUCGGAUUCAUUGGGCGUAAAGGGUGUGUAGGUGGCGCCGUAAGUCGGGUGUGAAAUUUCGGAGCUUAACUCCGAAACUGCAUUCGAUACUGCGGUGCUUGAGGACUGGAGAGGAGACUGGAAUUCAUGGUGUAGCAGUGAAAUGCGUAGAGAUCAUGAGGAAGACCAGUCGGCGAAGGCGG